GUGCCAGCAGCCGCGGUAAUACGUAGGGGGCGAGCGUUGUCCGAAUUCACUGGGCGUAAAGCGCGCGUAGGCGGACCUUUAAGUCAGGGGUGAAAUCUCAGGGCUCAACCCUGAAACUGCCUUUGAAACUGGGGGUCUUGAGGUAUGGAGAGGGAAGUGGAAUUCCUGGUGUAGCGGUGAAAUGCGUAGAUAUCAGGAGGAACACCCGUGGCGAAGGCGGCUUCCUGGCCAUAUCCUGACGCUGAGGUGCGAAAGCCAGGGGAGCGAACGGGAUUAGAAACCCUUGUAGUCC
rnacentral:rRNA from 1 species